UACGUAGGGAGCAAGCGUUGUCCGGAACCAUUGGGCGUAAAGCGCGCGUAGGCGGCCUCAUAAGUCCGUUGUGAAAGUCAAAGGCUCAACCUUUGAAAGCCGAUGGAUACUGUGAGGCUAGAGUCCGGAAGAGGCGAGUGGAAUUCCUGGUGUAGCGGUGAAAUGCGCAGAUAUCAGGAAGAACACCAAUGGCGAAGGCAGCUCUCUGGGACGGUACUGACGCUGAGACGCGAAAGCGUGGGGAGCGAACAGG
rnacentral:rRNA from 1 species